CCUACGGGUGGCAGCAGUGGGGAAUAUUGCACAAUGGGGGAAACCCUGAUGCAGCAACGCCGCGUGAAGGAAGACGGUUUUCGGAUUGUAAACUUCUGUUCUUAGUGAAGAAUAAUGAUGGUAGCUAAGGAGCAAGCCACGGCUAACUACGUGCCAGCAGCCGCGGUAAUACGUAGGUGGCAAGCGUUAUCCGGAUUUAUUGGGUUUAAAGGGUGCGUAGGCGGAUUUUUAAGUCAGCGGUAAAAUGUCCGGGCUCAACCCGGGCCGGCCGUUGAAACUGGGGAUCUUGAGUGGGCGAGAAGUAUGCGGAAUGCGUGGUGUAGCGGUGAAAUGCAUAGAUAUCACGCAGAACUCCGAUUGCGAAGGCAGCAUACCGGCGCCCGACUGACGCUGAGGCACGAAAGCGUGGGGAUCGAACAGGAUUAGAUACCCGGGUAGUC
rnacentral:rRNA from 1 species